GCUGUCUGCUCUGUUUAUUUACUUUUUCAAAAUUCUCAUGAAAGUAUUGCCAAGUGAUGUAUUUCAAGCUGUGAAAGUUAUUAAUCAGUGUUUGGAAAGUUAUUAAAAAGUGUUCUUUCUGCUAAAUAAUUUCAUGUUUCAUAUUCAUCACAGGAGAUUGAUUAAGAAAAUAAGAUCAUGAGUACGGAAAAAGUAUUAAAUGUUCAGAAAAAUGUGUGAAGUCGGCUUAUCAUAAUAUUUGCACAGGUUGUUCUGAACAACUAGAAGUUUGUGCGAAAUGUGGAGAGCAUAUAGAAAUUUCUCGUGGUGAAAAUAUUUCUGAAACCUAAA